rnacentral:rRNA from 1 species
AACGAACGCUGGCGGCAUGCCUAACACAUGCAAGUCGAACGAGACCUUCGGGUCUAGUGGCGCACGGGUGCGUAACGCGUGGGAACCUGCCCUUAGGUUCGGAAUAACUCCCCGAAAGGGGUGCUAAUACCGGAUAAUGUCUUCGGACCAAAGAUUUAUCGCCUUUGGAUGGGCCCGCGUUGGAUUAGCUAGUUGGUAGGGUAAAAGCCUACCAAGGCGACGAUCCAUAGCUGGUCUGAGAGGAUGAUCAGCUACACUGGGAAUGAGACACGGCCCAGACUCCUACGGAAGGCAGCAGUGGGGAAUAUUGGACAAUGGGCGAAAGCCUGAUCCAGCAAUGCCGCGUGAGUGAUGAAGGCCUUAGGGUUGUAAAGCUCUUUUACCCGGGAUGAUAAUGACAGUACCGGGAGAAUAAGCGCCGGCUAACUCCGUG